rnacentral:rRNA from 1 species
AGUAACACGUGGGUAACCUGCCCAUAAGACUGGGAUAACUCCGGGAAACCGGGGCUAAUACCGGAUAAUAUUUUGAACUGCAUGGUUCGAAAUUGAAAGGCGGCUUCGGCUGUCACUUAUGGAUGGACCCGCGUCGCAUUAGCUAGUUGGUGAGGUAACGGCUCACCAAGGCAACGAUGCGUAGCCGACCUGAGAGGGUGAUCGGCCACACUGGGACUGAGACACGGCCCAGACUCCUACGGGAGGCAGCAGUAGGGAAUCUUCCGCAAUGGACGAAAGUCUGACGGAGCAACGCCGCGUGAGUGAUGAAGGCUUUCGGGUCGUAAAACUCUGUUGUUAGGGAAGAACAAGUGCUAGUUGAAUAAGCUGGCACCUUGACGGUACCUAACCAGAAAGCCACGGCUAACUACGUGCCAGCAGCCGCGGUAAUACGUAGGUGGCAAGCGUUAUCCGGAAUUAUUGGGCGUAAAGCGCGCGCAGGUGGUUUCUUAAGUCUGAUGU